rnacentral:rRNA from 2 species
UACAGAGGUCUCAAGCGUUGUUCGGAAUCACUGGGCGUAAAGGGUGCGUAGGCGGCGUGGAAAGUCAGAUGUGAAAUCCGGGGGCUCAACCUCCGAAUUGCAUCCGAUACUACCAUGCUAGAGAACUGGAGGGGAGUCUGGAAUUCUUGGUGUAGCAGUGAAAUGCAUAGAUAUCAAGAGGAACACUAGUGGCGAAGGCGAGACUCUGGACAGUAUCUGACGCUCAUGCACGAAGGUCAGGGUAGCGAACGGG